AACGAACGCUGGCGGCAUGCCUAACACAUGCAAGUCGAACGAGACCUUCGGGUCUAGUGGCGCACGGGGGCGUAACGCGUGGGAACCUGCCCUUAGGGUCGGAAUAACUCCCCGAAAGGGGUGCUAAUACCGGAUAAUGUCUUCGGACCAAAGAUUUAUCGCCUUUGGAUGGGCCCUCGUUGGAUUAGCUAGUUGGUAGGGUAAAAGCCUACCAAGGCGACGAUCCAUAGCUGGUCUGAGAGGAUGAUCAGCCACACUGGGACUGAGACACGGCCCAGACUCCUACGGGAGGCAGCAGUGGGGAAUAUUGGACAAUGGGCGAAAGCCUGAUCCAGCUAUGCCGCGUGAGUGAUGAAGGCCUUAGGGUUGUAAAGCUCUUUUACCCGGGAUGAUAAUGACAGUACCGGGAGAAUAAGCUACGGCUAACUCCGUG
rnacentral:rRNA from 1 species